CUUCCAAUCUACCGCGCUGUCAUGAAGGCCGACCUCCAGGCGUUUCUGGAGGGCGCCUUUCCUGUCGUCGAUAACCGCUGGGCGCUCGAAGUCGCGCCCUAUCUGGAAUACCUAGUUAAUGAACUGACGGGGGUUGCUGAAGGUCGUGACACCCGGCUCAUUAUCAAUCUGCCGCCACGUCACCUGAAAUCCGUGCUGACGUCCAUCGUGUUCGUUGCCUG
rnacentral:misc_RNA from 1 species